UACGUAGGGUGCAAGCGUUGUCCGGAAUUAUUGGGCGUAAAGAGCUCGUAGGCGGCUUGUCACGUCGACUGUGAAAACCCGGGGCUCAACUCCGGGCCUGCAGUCGAUACGGGCUGGCUUGAGUGCGGUAGGGGAGACUGGAAUUCCUGGUGUAGCGGUGAAAUGCGCAGAUAUCAGGAAGAACACCCGUGGCGAAGGCGGUUCUCUGGGACGGUACUGGACGCUGGAGACGCGAAAGCGUGGGGAGCGAACAGGAUUAGAA
rnacentral:rRNA from 1 species